ACGCGUAUCCAACCUGCCUUACACUCUCGGACAGCCUUCUGAAAGGGAGAUUAAUACAAGAUGUUAUCAUGAGUAAGCAUUUUCGCAUGAUUAAAGGUUUACCGGUGUAAGAUGGGGAUGCGUUCCAUUAGAUAGUAGGCGGGGUAACGGCCCACCUAGUCUUCGAUGGAUAGGGGUUCUGAGAGGAAGGUCCCCCACAUUGGAACUGAGACACGGUCCAAACUCCUACGGGAGGCAGCAGUGAGGAAUAUUGGUCAAUGGACGAGAGUCUGAACCAGCCAAGUAGCGUGAAGGAUGAAGGUUCUAUGGAUUGUAAACUUCUUUUAUACGGGAAUAAACGAAUCCACGUGUGGAUUUUUGCAUGUACCGUAUGAAUAAGGAUCGGCUAACUCCGUGCCAGCAGCCGCGGUAAUACGGAGGAUCCGAGCGUUAUCCGGAUUUAUUGGGUUUAAAGGGAGCGUAGAUGGGUUGUUAAGUCAGUUGUGAAAGUUUGCGGCUCAACCGUAAAAUUGCAAUUGAUACUGGCAGUCUUGAGUACAGUUGAGGUAGGCGGAAUUCGUGGUGUAGCGGUGAAAUGCUUAGAUAUCACGAAGAACUCCGAUUGCGAAGGCAGCUUACUAACCU
rnacentral:rRNA from 1 species